GCAAAGCCCAGGGGUCCGGCUUCCCAGCCAGUGGUCUCUCACAGACCCUCCUGGGUCCAGGCUCCCAGCCCCUGCUCUGGGGACCCAGAACUCACAUUUUGAAGAACACAGAAAUUCAGGCUUCGGGCCUCCUGUCCUAGGUGGACCUUCCUCUCCCAAGAUCCACGAGCCGGGCGGGCCCUCCCGGAGGCCGGCGGGGGGGCGGAGGUCCCAGCACCGCCCCGCCUCCCUUCGCCCGGGUCCCCACCACAUUCCUGAUGGCUGGGCUGACUUGAAGCCCUUAUAAGGCCCGGAGACGCUGCGCGGGGCCUGGCCGUCCGCCCCCGCAGCCACCGCCCAGGGCCCUCCCGCCCGUCCGCCCCGCGGCCUUCCCCAGCUGCGGCAGGCUUAAGAUCACUCACGCCCCCGCCCGCCCGCGUCUUUUCCAGGUGUCGGACUUAAUCCACCUCCAGAGCCGGAUCUUUAGCCCUCGGGGUUCUUGGCAGAGACUGCAGGUGAGUGAGUCUGGACUCCCCAUCGGAGGGGAGAAGGGCUGGGGGCCUGCACUCCUGGGUCUGAGAGAGGAGGGAGCUUCCCACCUAGACUCUGUGUUGGAGGGAGGAGCAUCUGGGGCCUGGACUCUGAGAUUCCGAGAGAAGGACCUUGGAGCUGGGUUUCCUUGGAAAGAGAUCCAGACACUUGUUUACCUGGGAAAACAGUGUGUCCAGGAAAUGGGCUUCCAGGUCUUGGGACCUCUUGCAGGGACAGCUGGGCAAGCUAGAACCUGUUCUACUGUCCUAUAGGCCCUCCUGUGCCUGCCCAUGGAAGGAGGAAGUUUUAUUUCCCUGAAACUGAGAGAAGCCUUCUGAGCUUUUUAGGGGUGGAGGGCAACAGGGCAGAUGUCAGAGGCCUGAGGGAGGAUUUGGAUACCCGGUCCCCAAGACACUGGGCCCUCUCUCCCUGAGGGUCUCUAGGACAAGGAGAUAGAAGUUGUAGGUUCUGGAGGGACAGAAAAAAGAAGCUGAUUUUCUAGACUACAGGUGUCUGGUGAACUCAAGGUCCAGGGCCCAGAGUCCUGAGGUCUGAAGCUCUGUGACCAGACGUGAGAGGCCUGGAGAUUUCAGUGGAAGAGGCUGGGGCACUGGACAGUUGGAGAAUCUGGAGUGCUUGAGUUUCUUGGAAGUUAGGGAACUUGGAGAUUGGACUCCAUGUGGGGGAGGGGCAUAGGUAGAAGGAAGCUCAGUGUCCUUGGGGGUAGUGCUCCAGCCCUGUAUCCCAGGUGAGACUGCAAUGGAAGUCACGGACCCUUGAUCUCUCUGGUAGAGGGUGGACUUGAGAGGGCAUGUUCCCAAGAGCUUAGCCCCAGUUCCAGAGACAGGCUGGGAGUUCAGGAGCUCUGAUCACAUGUGGGUCCCUGAGAAGUUUCCCACGUGGAGGUUGGACUCUUGGAUGUCUGGAGGCUGGAAAUGCCUGUUGGGUGAAGGAAGGCAGGUGCUCACAGGAGCAG
ensembl:lncRNA